rnacentral:lncRNA from 1 species
CUAAAUUCAAUCCGACGACUACUUCUAUCUCCUCGAUCAUCUCUAAGCCUAGAAAAAAACAAAAAUAAUCCAAAUCAGUACCUUCAAUACAAUCGAGAAAGGAGUCUCUAAACUGAAAAGAUGAUUUCAAUUCAAGAACAAUCACCUAUUAUGGUCACGAUCACGGCAUUAGCCAUAGUCAUCAUCAUCUCUUCUACCACGUUCUCUUCUUUCACUACGCUCGGUUCUAUGAUCCAUGACGACUGUUUAUAUGAUGACGCUCACAAUUUCUGUAUGUUCUUUCCAUUUAUAUCGCUUCUUCUAAGAGAGACUUUAGAGUCAUUUUUCUGUCCUUAUCACGGCCAUUCUCUCUUUCUUUAUCAUUACCUUUUGAAGUCUCUCUUCCAUGGUCACGUGUUUCUCUCUGCACAAUUAAAAACACAACUCAUAAAUUAGUUUUAAGAAUCAAUGAAACUAAACGAAAAUCAUACACAAAAUCAAUGAAACUAAAAUAGAUUACAGCUAGUAGAUAAACUAAUGAUAUAAGAAUAACAAAAUUGUACUAUAUUUAUAGUGUUAAGAGAGUUGUUUGUAAUUUUCGGGUUGAUAGAAUAUAAUUUCUCGAAUAAAUAAUGAAAUCAAAUCUAAACGAUAAAAAUUUUUUUUGUAAAGAACGCAUUUGGAUAGUAAUUAUUAUAUGUGCAUGUAUACUAUUAAAUAGGUAUUAAAACAGAAAUGUAGGAUACUGUUUAGAUUUUUUAUAGAAAUCUUAAACUAAUUAGAUUCCAAGAUUUGUUACGUGAGAGUAAUUAGGGGGAUCACAUUAAAUAAUCGAAAUUUUGAAAAGAAAGAUGCGAGAUUAUUGCAAAAGAUUAGAGCAAAUAUUUUUAAUCCGGCGAAUAUAUUUAAUGUUUUACUUGGAGAUGACAGAUGAGUAAAUAAUUUAUUGAUUUUAAUUUUCUUGUUGUAGAUAUGGUUAGUAGGAUUAUCGAAAAUGUUAAGUUGGUAGUAAUUAAAUGAGAUUUGAGAUCUCGGAUGAAAAUAUUUUUCAAAAUAUAGUCGAGUUAAUAUUGAGAGAUUUGGGGAAUAAUUGGUUAGUAACUAAUUGUUUAAAAUAUGGAUCUUUAAUUCAAAACGUGUAAUCAAUAAUAACAACCAUUUAAUGUUUUUUUUUUUGUGCAAAAUUAAAGGAAGAUCCGUUUAAAACGAUUUCGGGUCAAAAAAUAAACAAAAACCCAACCCACCAGUGGCAUUCUAUUGUAAAUACUUAUCAACUUCAGAAUUUAUUUGCUAAAAAUCAUCCAAAAAUGUAUAUAUAGAUAGUAUUCUUUUUAGAGAUAAUCAUUAAUUAGAAAUAAAAGAUGGUUCGGGUCCAUUUAACAACUUUAUAUAAACUCGACGAGAUGGAACCAAAAACACACAAAACACACCAAAAGAAAUAAAACCAAAUACCAAAAUAUUCAUCACUAUAUCAAAAAAGGUAAAGAAAAAUGAGGUCUUCAACAAAGAACAUCGAACAAGCUCAAGAAAGUUGUUAUCACGAGUGGAUGAGUUUGCAGUCUCAACGCAUAAAUGAGGUCAAACAACUCUUAGUUCAACGACGAUCUCACCGCGAUGAAGAACACGAUAAGAAGCUCCGUGAGUUAACGGGAAAGAUCCUUGGAGAUUUCAAAGAUUAUGCCGGAAAAAGAGCUGAUCUUGCUCACCGAUGUAGCUCGAACUAUUAUGCACCGACGUGGAAUACUCGUUUAGAGAACGCUCUAAUUUGGAUGGGUGGUUGUCGACCAUCUUCUUUCUUUAGGCUCAUUUAUGCUUUGUGUGGGUCACAAACUGAGAUACGUGUGACUCAGUUUCUCCGCAACAUCGACGGCUACGAAUCUUCAGGUAGGGUUUUGGACGUUUUCGGUUAUUUCGGUUUUAAGAAUGGGUUUGUUUGCUAACUAGACACUUUUAGAAUAAUAAUUAUGAGGAAUUAAAAAUAAAAUAAAAAGACAAUUUUUUGGUUCGGUGCAGCAAAUUUUUGGAUUGGCGUGGUUUAUCCGAUUUUUCAUAUUUUCCAAUAAAGAGUUUUGAGAAUUUUGAAAAAUGAAAUUAACAUUAGAUUGGUUUGGUUUUAAUCCGAUUUUAUGAUCAUUCCGAUUUAACCGAGUUUAAGAAUCUAGUAUUCGGUUCAUUUUUUGUUUCAAACAAAAAUGUUUUGUUUUUGUUUUGUUUUUUUUUUUUUUUUGAAAUAUAAAAAUGAUGAAAGCAAACUUACUUCGGUUCCGGUGGUUCGGGUUUGGUUCAAUUUGGUUUGGUUUGACAGGUGGCGGCGGUGGCGCA